UGGGGGAUAUUGCACAAUGGGCGAAAGCCUGAUGCAGCGACGCCGCGUGGGGGAUGAAGGCCUUCGGGUUGUAAACUUCUUUUGCUCUGAACAAGGCGCACCAUGGGGUGUGUUGAGUGUAGGGGUUGAUUAGCGCCGGCUAACUACGUGCCAGCAGCCGCGGUAAUACGUAGGGCGCGAGCGUUGUCCGGAAUUAUUGGGCGUAAAGGGCGUGUAGGUGGCUGGUUGCGUCUGUCGUGAAAGCUCAUGGCUUAACUGUGGGUUUGCGGUGGGGACGGGCCGGCUUGAGUGCAGUAGGGGAGGCUGGGAUUCCUGGUGUAGCGGUGGAAUGCGCAGAUAUCAGGAGGAAUACCGGUGGCGAAGGCGGGUCUCUGGGCUGUUACUGACACUGAGGAGCGAAAGGAUGGGGAGCGAAAAGG
rnacentral:rRNA from 1 species